rfam:Candidatus Falkowbacteria bacterium RBG_13_39_14 RBG_13_scaffold_8461, whole genome shotgun sequence.
UUUCAAGCAAAAAUAAGGGCGUAUGGUGGAUGCCUAGACAUCAAAAGGCGAUGAAGGACGCAGCAGCCUGCGAUAAGCCUCGGUUAGGUGGCAAGCAACCUUUGAUCCGGGGAUUUCCGAAUGGGGAAACCCAGCCGCCGUUAAGGGCGGCUAUCCUAUACUGAAUACAUAGGUAUAGGGCGCGCACCCGGGGAAUUGAAACAUCUUAGUACCCGGUGGAAAAGAAAAUAAAAAUGAUUCCCCUAGUAGCGGCGAGCGAAAGGGGAAUAGCCUAAACUCUAUUAGUGGGUCGUACGGGGAAACCCUGCAGCAAUGCGGGAUGGAACCGCGCGAUUAAAGGCGCAGGCCGUUGCUAGUAGAGGGUUGUGAGAUAUAAAUGACUAUCUUCCUGUUAAAGAUAGGUAGAGUAUAACCUAUGUUUCUUAGCGGAACGGUCCUGGAAAGGCCGGCCAUAGCGGGUGAAAGCCCCGUACGCGAAAAGAAACAAGGCUCUAUUGUUAUAUUCUCAAGUAUUGCGGAACUCGAGAAAUUCCGUGAGAAUCCGCCUGGACUAUCAGGUAAGGCUAAAUACUUUUGAUGAUCGAUAGUGAACAAGUACCGUGAGGGAAAGGUGAAAAGCACCCCGAUGAGGGGGAUGAAAUAGUUUCUGAAACCGUACGCUUACAAGGAGUCAAAGCCGAUGCUUCGCAUCGGCGCGCGGAUAAGUCGCGGAUAGCGACGCGGAUAAAACGCGGAAGUGCGAAUUUAAAAAUUCGUAUAUCAGCGUAAUAUCUGCGUAACUAUCAGUCGUAAAUCAGCGUGCCGACGCGGUGCGUCGGUGAUGGCGUUCCUAUUGAAGAAUGAGCCAACGAGUGUAUGAGUAUUGUUUGUUUAAUCCGCUGCGGCGGAGAAGGCGCAGGGAAACCGAGUCUUAAUAGGGCGAACCGUGCGUAGCACGGAAAUCCGAAAUCCUAAUCUCUAAAUUCUAAAUAAAUUUAAAUUACCAAAAUACAAAAUUCAAAAAUUCGCGUUUUUGAGAAUUUGACCUGCCUGCGCAGACAGGUAUUUGGAUUUUGUAAAUUGUUUAGGAUUUAGGAUUUUGAAUUUAGAGUUUCCGCGCUGCGCGCGGCGACAGUACUUAUACGACCCGAAGCCGGGUGACCUAUCCAUGGCCAGGUUGAAGCAUCCGUAAAAGGAUGUGGAGGACCGAACCCACUAGCCGUGCAAUACUAGGGGAUGAGCUGUGGAUAGCGGAGAAAUACUAAUCGAACUCGGUAAUAGCUGGUUCUCCCCGAAAUAGCUUUAAGGCUAGCGUUAACCGUUAGAAUACGGGGGUAGAGCACUGAAUGGGUGCGGAUGGAGCAAUCCUACCUCACCCAACCAAACUCCGAAUACCGUAUUCGUAUCCGGUGCCUUUUAAAUGAUUUGGGUAGAUAAUCAAGAGCAUCGUAGAUAAUCGUUGCGAAGAAAAUCGAUAUUCGUUUCGUAUAUUGAUUUUCGAAAUUGAGCUUCGAAACGCUUUUCGAAUAUCGUCGCAACGAUUUUCUCUUACUAUUAAAAUAUCAUUAGCAGAUGUGGAUUAUAUGCGUACAAGUCAUUUGGAAGGCGCCGGAUACAAAGGUUGGCAGUUAGACUGUGGGGGCGAAGCUCCAUAGUCGAAAGGGAAACAGCCCUGACCGCUGUCUAAGGUCCCUAAAUCUAUGUUAAGUGUUAAAGGUGGUGAUAUGACUUAAACAACCAGGAGGUUGGCUUAGAAGCAGCCAUCCUUUAAAGAAAGCGUAAUAGCUCACUGGUCGAGUUGUCUUGCGCCGAAAAUGUACCGGGGCUAAACAUAGUACCGAAGACGCGGCUGCCGUUGCGAAGCAACGGGAAUUUUCAAAAUAAUAAAUUACAAAUCCUAAAUACCUGCCCGACAUGAAUGUCAUUCAGGCGGGAAUUCAAAUUUUUUAAAUUAAAAAAUUCAAAAAAAGUUUGAAGUUUUGAUAUUUGGAUCUAGAUAUUAUUUAGGAUUUAUGAUUUUGAAUUUGGAAUUUCCAUUGCUGCGCAAUGGCGGGGUAGGGGAGCAUUCCAUAAGCGUUGAAGCCGCACCCGCGAGGGGCGGUGGAGCGUAUGGAAGAGAGAAUGUUGGCAUGAGUAACAAAAAUUCAGGCGAGAACCCUGAACACCGUAAAACCAAGGUUUCCUGGGCAAUGUAAAUCGUCCCAGGGUUAGUCGGUCCUAAGGCGAGCCUAGAAUAACUAGGGUAGUCGAUGGACAGCUGGUUAAUAUUCCAGCACUGCUGUUAAUGUCUGAUGGGGGGACGGAGCGAAGGAGACUCUGCGCGCUUUCGGUUAUGCGCGUUGAUGGCAAAGUAGAGUUGGCUGCAGGCAAAUCCGCAGCCUUUAAAUUCGAAAGCUGUCAGAAGACAAAGCCCUCGGGCAGAGUCAAUUCGGUUGAAUGAGCUUCCAAGAAAAUCCUCUAAGAUUAAGUUAACAGUAUCCGUACCGUAAACCGACACAGGUGGUUGGGCAUAAGCGUGCCAAGGUGUGCGAGAGAACCCUCGUUUAGGAACUCGGCAAAAUAGCGGCCGUAAGUUCGCAAUAAGGCCUGCCCAUCGUUGCUUCGCAACGACACGCGGAUUGGUCGCAGAUAGCAACGCGGAUAGGACGCGGAAGCGCGGAUUUUUAACGAAUCUUCGUAUCCGCGUAAAAUCAGCGUGGCUAUCCGCGUAAGAUCAGCGUGCCAUUGCGGAGCAAUGGUAUGGGCCGCAGCUAAAGACAUCAAGCGACUGUUUACCAAAAACACAGGUCCCUGCCAAACCGUAAGGUGAAGUAUAGGGGCUGAUGCCUGGCCAGUGUCCGAACGUUAAGAGGAGAGGUCAUUCCCGCAGUAAUGCGGGAGGCAGCCUUGAAUCGAAGCGCGGAUGAACGCCGGCGAUAACUAUAAUCGUCCUAUGGUAGCGAAAUUCCUUGUCGUGUGAGUUACGACCUGCACGAAUGGCAUAACGACUUGAUGACUGUCUCAACGAGGGACUCGGUGAAAUUGCAAGAUGAGUAAAGAUGCUCAUUACCCAUGGCUGGACGAAAAGACCCCGUGAAGCUUUACUAUAGCUUGAUAUUGAGUUAGAGUUAGGCACGCUCAGAAUAGGUGGGAGCCCCGCAGAAAUGCGGGGCAACAGUGAGAUACCACCCUUGUUUAAUUUUAAUUCUAACCUAUGGCCUUCUAUCAGGCCAAGGGACAGUGUCUGGCGGGUAGUUUAACUGGGGCGGUUGCCUCCUAAAAUGUAACGGAGGCGUUUACAAAGGUCGGCUAGGCUCCGAUGGAAAUGGAGCUGAUAGCGCAAAGGCAUAAGCCGGCUUUACUGCAAGACCUACAAGUCGAGCAGUCGCGAAAGCGGAACUUAGUGAUCCGACCGUACGAAAUAGGACGGCGGAAGCUCAACGGAUAAAAGUUACUCCGGGGAUAACAGGCUGGUCAGGUCCAAGAGUUCACAUCGACGACCUGGUUCGGCACCUCGAUGUCGGCUCGUCGCAUCCUGGGGGUGGAGAAGCUCCCAAGGGUUUGGCUGUUCGCCAAUUAAAGCGGCACGCGAGCUGGGUUCAGAACGUCGUGAGACAGUUCGGUCUCCUAUCCGCCAUGGGCGUUGAAAUUUGAGAAGGCCCUUCCCUAGUACGAGAGGACCGGGAAGGACGAACCUCUAGUGUGCCGGCUGUUCUACCAAGGGCAUCGCCGGGUAGCUAUGUUCGGUUUAGAUAAGCGCUGAAAGCAUAUAAGCGCGAAGCUGUCUUCAAGAUUAGAUUUCGUUAUGGGUUUCGCAAAGAAAUAAGGUUGUUAUUUUUCGCUCAAAUUUGCGAUAGAUUUGGAUAAUUCGAUUGAGUGAAAUUUGAGGCGCAGUAAUCCUGCAGUGAAAAUUUCACGAUUGAGAAUUAUUCAAAGAUAGCGUGAAGUUGAGAUGAAAAAAUAAUUAUUUUAUUUCUUUGUGAAACCCCAGAUCCCUUCGAGAUGAGGAGGUUGAUAGGCGGCAGGUGCAAGGCUAGCAAUAGUUUUAGCCGAGCCGUACUAAUAGAUCGAUUUACUUGGGAAA